AGAACGAACGCUGGCGGCAUGCCUAAUACAUGCAAGUCGAACGAACUCUUCGGAGUUAGUGGCGCACGGGUGCGUAACGCGUGGGAAUCUGCCCCUUGGUUCGGAAUAACAGUUGGAAACGACUGCUAAUACCGGAUGAUGACGAAAGUCCAAAGAUUUAUCGCCAAGGGAUGAGCCCGCGUAGGAUUAGCUAGUUGGUGAGGUAAAGGCUCACCAAGGCGACGAUCCUUAGCUGGUCUGAGAGGAUGAUCAGCCACACUGGGACUGAGACACGGCCCAGACUCCUACGGGAGCAGCAGUAGGGAAUAUUGGGCAAUGGGACGAAAGCCUGAUCCAGCAAUGCCGCGUGAGUGAUGAAGGCCGUUAGGUUGUAAAGCUCUUUUACCCGAGAUGAAUAAUGUAACAGUAGUCGGAAGAAAUAACG
rnacentral:rRNA from 1 species